AUUGAACGCUUGCGGCAGGCUUAACACAUGCAAGUCGAGCGAGCGGCGGACGGGUGAGUAAUGUCUGGGAAACUGCCUGAUGGAGGGGGAUAACUACUGGAAACGGUAGCUAAUACCGCAUACCAUCAGAUGUGCCCAGAUGUGAUUAGCUAGUAGGUGGGGUAAUGGCUCACCUAGGCGACGAUCCCUAUCUGGUCUGAGCGGAUGACCAGCAACACUGGAACUGAGACACGUGCCAGACGCCUACGGUAGGCAGCAGUGGGGAAUAUUGCACAAUGGGCGCAAGCAUGAUGCAGCCAUGCCGCGUGUUUGAAGAAGGCCUUCGGGUUGUAAAGCACUUUCAGCGAGGAGGCGUUACUCGCAGAAGAAGCACCGGCUAACUCCGUGCCAGGAGCCGCGGUAAUUC
rnacentral:rRNA from 1 species